UACGAAGGUGGCAAGCGUUGUUCGGAUUUACUGGGCGUACAGGGAGCGUAGGCGGUUGGAUAAGCCCUCCGUGAAAUCUCCAGGCUUAACCUGGAAAGUGCAGAGGGGACUGUUCAGCUUGAGGAUGGGAGAGGAGCGCGGAAUUCCCGGUGUAGCGGUGAAAUGCGUAGAGAUCGGGAGGAAGGCCGGUGGCGAAGGCGGCGCUCUGGAACAUUUCUGACGCUGAGGCUCGAAAGCGUGGGGAGCAAACAGG
rnacentral:rRNA from 1 species